rnacentral:rRNA from 1 species
AGAGUUUGAUCCUGGCUCAGGAUGAACGCUGGCGGCGUGCUUAACACAUGCAAGUCGAACGGAAGUAAAAGAAGGGAAGGGGCAGUUUACUGCCGCGGAACAUUUUUACUUUAGUGGCGGACGGGUGAGUAACGCGUGGGUAACCUGCCUUAUACAGGGGGAUAACACUUAGAAAUAGGUGCUAAGACCGCAUAAGCGCCCAGGGCCGCAUGGCCCAGGGUGAAAAACUCCGGUGGUAUAAGAUGGGCCCGCGUCUGAUUAGCCAGUUGGCAGGGUAACGGCCUACCAAAGCGACGAUCAGUAGCCGGCCUGAGAGGGUGGACGGCCACAUUGGGACUGAGACACGGCCCAAACUCCUACGGGAGGCAGCAGUGGGGGAUAUUGCACAAUGGGGUAAACCCUGAUGCAGCGACGCCGCGUGAGUGAAGAAGUAUUUCGGUAUGUAAAGCUCUAUCAGCAGGGAAGAAAGAAGACGGUACCUGAGUAAGAAGCCCCGGCUAACUACGUG